rnacentral:lncRNA from 1 species
UCGCACGCGAAUAAAAUUAAUUAGUAGUUAUAAAUUGGCACCGGUUAGUUAAAAAGAUGCUAAUCCAAUUUGUAGUCCUACUAUUUAUAUUAAAAUAUACGGCUUCACU